AACGAACGCUGGCGGCGUGCCUAACACAUGCAAGUCGAGCGAGAAAGCCCGCAAGGGUGAGUACAGCGGCGCACGGGUGCGUAACACGUGGGUAAUCUGCCCUGAAGCCCGGAAUAACCUCCCGAAAGGGAAGCUAAUACCGGAUAAGACCACGGGAGCCUCGGCUCCUGCGGGAAAAGGUGGCCUCUGCAUGCAAGCUAUCAUUUCAGGAUGAGCCCGCGGCCCAUCAGCUCGUUGGCGGGGUAAUGGCCCACCAAGGCUACGACGGGUAGCUGGUCUGAGAGGACGAUCAGCCACACUGGAACUGAGACACGGUCCAGACUCCUACGGGAGGCAGCAGUGGGGAAUCUUGCGCAAUGGGCGAAAGCCUGACGCAGCAACGCCGCGUGUGUGAUGAAGGUCUUCGGAUCGUAAAGCACUGUCGGGAGGGACGAAUAAGGGCCAGGUGAACAAUCUGGUCUGAUGACGGUACCUCCAAAGGAAGCACCGGCUAACUCUGUGCCAGCCGCCGCAGUAAAAC
rnacentral:rRNA from 1 species